rnacentral:lncRNA from 1 species
CGCAAAAUCUCGACCCUUAAUUCAAGGUCGAAAGGCCUAUUUAUAGACAACUCAAGUUCAAAACCACUAUUGGAUUGUUUUUUAGUGCAAUCAUGAUCAUUCAUUUCUUGUCGCCAUUUGGAUUUCUUCCGACGCCAUUGCUAAUGGCCCAGAGCUCACAGUUAAUUAGCACUAAGUGCAGUCCUUUGAAAUAAAUGUUGUAUUUAAUGCGGUCUAAUCAUGCAGUCUAGAUAGGGUACAGUUGUACGUGUGAGCGAGUGUCAGAGUCUUAGCGCCACUGGCAAUGGCAUCGAUGCCUUCCAAACUCCUCCACGAGAAAAUUCCCCAUGUGUCGUCUUCUGAGCUUCUUGCCAUAAAGGGUUGAGAUGCGUCAUGUUUUUUAAUCCCUCCAGCUACAUUUCGAUUGGCGACUGUGUUAGACUGUGGUUUUUGCUCGUCAUAAAGCAGGCGGUUGAGGUGACACUUCCUCGACCAAUCCUAGGUCGACAACCAACCUCUGUACUGACACAAUGGACACAUCAGUACAUUCUGACAUGUGUAAAUUCGUAUUGACACAUGUCAUUUCUCAGCAUUAGGUCACUUCUAUAGGCUGCCAUCAGUUUGGGUUGUCCAUGGCCUAGCAAAAGUCUGAAGUGCAUCGACGCCAUUGAGAAUGAUGUUGAGCUCCUCUCUCUCUCUCU